GGGGCUAGCGUUGCUCGGAAUUACUGGGCGUAAAGGGAGCGUAGGCGGAUAGUUUAGUCAGAGGUGAAAGCCCAGGGCUCAACCUUGGAAUUGCCUUUGAUACUGGCUAUCUUGAGUACGGAAGAGGUAUGUGGAACUCCGAGUGUAGAGGUGAAAUUCGUAGAUAUUCGGAAGAACACCAGUGGCGAAGGCGACAUACUGGUCCGUUACUGACGCUGAGGCUCGAAAGCGUGGGGAGCAAACAGG
rnacentral:rRNA from 1 species